rnacentral:rRNA from 1 species
UACAGAGGGUGCAAGCGUUAAUCGGAAUCACUGGGCGUAAAGCGUGCGUAGGCGGCUUAGCAAGUCGGGCGUGAAAUCCCCGGGCUCAACCUGGGAAUGGCACUCGAUACUACUAAGCUAGAGUGUGGUAGAGGGAAGUGGAAUUCCCGGUGUAGCGGUGAAAUGCGUAGAUAUCAGGAAGAACACCCGUGGCGAAGGCGGUUCUCUGGGACGGUACUGACGCUGAGACGCGAAAGCGUGGGGAGCGAACAGG